rnacentral:RNase_P_RNA from 1 species
GAAGUCGGUCAGGCAACCGCUGCGUACUUUAAGUACGGGGAGGAAAGUCCGGGCUUCACAGAGCAGGAUGCCGGCUAACGGCCGGGCACCGUGAGGUGACGGAAAGUGCAACAGAAAGCAAACCGCCCAAGACCGGGGAAACCCGGGACGGCAAGGGUGAAACGGCGAGGUAAGAGCUCACCGCGGACGUGGUAACACGGACGGCACGGCAAACCCCAUCCGAAGCAAGGCCAAAUAGGGAAGCGCAUGGCGUGGCUCGCGUUGCUUCCGGGUAGGCUGCUUGAGCGCCCUGGUAACAGGUCGCCUAGAGGAAUGGUUGCCCACGACAGAACCCGGCUUAACGACCGGCUUCCCCC